CAGCCGCCGCGGGAAUACGUAGGGUGCAAGCGUUAAUCGGAAUUACUGGGCGUAAAGCGUGCGCAGGCGGUUAUAUAAGUCAGAUGUGAAAGCCCACGGCUCAACCGUGGAGGGUCAUUGGAAACUGUUAAACAUGAGUGCAGGAGAGAAAAGUGGAAUUCCUAGUGUAGCGGUGAAAUGCGUAGAGAUGUGGAGGAACACCAGUGGCGAAGGCGACUCUCUGGUCUGUAACUGACGCUGAGGAGCGAAAGCGUGGGGAGCGAACAGGAUUAGAUACCCGUGUAGUCCCUGUCUCUUUACA
rnacentral:rRNA from 1 species